CGCCGCCUCAGCAGCAGAGCAGCAGGUAGCAUGCGGGCCCUCUUUCAUGGAGGGAUGUUUGGCUGCCCUCUGCUGUUGCUGCCUUUUGGAUGCAUGCUUUUGAUUUGAGGGGAUUGGGCAUGAAUUGAUGAACCAACUGUGAGAUUGCCAAAUUGAUGAAGCAACAAUUCAGCCUGUGCCCGGUGUCAAUUCUUUGUUUUCAGGACUUUGUUCGUGGUGUUAUUGUACUUCCUUUUCAUUAGAGCGACAGUAUCUUCUUAUAUAAAAGCAUGUGUGAUAUAUUGAGAUUAUAUAUCAAAUCUAUUAUCAAAAGUAUACAUUUGCGUGUAGGGUUAUUAUGUUGGUUGCGUUAAUAUCUUCGGAUGCAUAAUUCUUUGAUA